rnacentral:rRNA from 1 species
UACGUAGGGUGCGAGCGUUGUCCGGAAUUAUUGGGCGUAAAGAGCUCGUAGGCGGUUUGUCGCGUCGACUGUGAAAACCCGAGGCUUAACCUCGGGCCUGCAGUCGAUACGGGCAGACUAGAGUUCGGUAGGGGAGUCUGGAAUUCCUGGUGUAGCGGUGAAAUGCGCAGAUAUCAGGAGGAACACCGGUGGCGAAGGCGGGUCUCUGGGCCGUAACUGACGCUGAGGAGCGAAAGCAUGGGGAGCGAACAGG